UCUUUUUCUUUUCCUCCGUUUCUCACCCGACCCCAUCCCUGUUUCUUCCUCUUCUUCCCUUCUCUCGCACUGUCUUCUUCUAUUCAUCUUCCCCAAACUGUCGCCGCCGACGCCUCCUCUUCUCCCCUCCCCCCGCGUUCAUAACCCUGGCCAAAGGAAAGCUCGAAGCCCUAACAUCACUUUCCCCUUCUUUGCCCCCAUUGCUGCCUUGUCGCAGAGAUUCCGAUCGCGCCAUCUCCUCCUUGCGUCGAUCGACAUCCGCACUGCGCUACCCUUCGUCGGAGCAGUGGCGUUGUCGUUCUUGCUGUGCCCUAGCCGCAGUCACCCGUGCCCUAGUUUUCCUUCUUGUCGCGAGCCAUAGUGCCAAACGCCACCCGAUCUUUCCUCUUCGGGUCGUGGAUAGAAGCCGAUCAUCUGAGUUGAUCUCUCGUUGGUGCCCUAGCCACUGCCACUACGAGGACUGAGCCGGUCAUCGCCGACGCGGCUAGCCUCGACCCAUCCCUCUUCUCUUGAUUUUCUCCGAGUCGUGCCCUAAUCACUUCUUGCUGCCACCACUUGCCGACACUGCCCAACGCCUGAGUGGGCUGAUACAACAGAUUUGGUUUUGACCAGCCACUGUUGCUUGCUAUCAUCACCGGCGAUUGAAGAGGACGAGGUAAUGGAGGCUAUCUUGCUGUUGGAUUGUGAUAGUGAAUAGAUUUCUUGGUUGCUUUCUUGAUCUCCUUUUGAUCCGGGCAAUGAGGAGGUUUCCAGCCAGAGUAGUGGUGUUUCCGGGUAUUCCCAGCAAUUGCGAUCUCCGGCUGCGAGUCAACAGUGGUGGCUUGAGUUGAGGACUUUGAUUUGCGAUGAGCUACUUUACGUGGGGUUUCUUUUGGCACGCACUAUAUUGGAGGCGGGU